rnacentral:tRNA from 1 species
GCUGGUAUGGCGCAAUGGUAGCGCAACGGUUUUGUAAACCGUAGGUUGUGGGUUCGAGUCCCUCUACCAGCUCCA